rnacentral:rRNA from 1 species
UACGUAGGGGGCAAGCGUUGUCCGGAAUCAUUGGGCGUAAAGAGCGUGUAGGCGGCUCGAUAAGUCCGCUGUGAAAGUCCAGGGCUCAACCCUGGAAGGCCGGUGGAAACUGUCGGGCUAGAGUCCGGAAGAGGCGAGUGGAAUUCCCGGUGUAGCGGUGAAAUGCGUAGAGAUCGGAAAGAACACCAACGGCGAAAGCACUCUGCUGGGCCGACACUGACACUGAGAGACGAAAGCUAGGGGAGCGAAUGGG